rnacentral:rRNA from 2 species
UACAUGGGGUGCAAACGUUGCUCGGAAUUAUUGGGCGUAAAGCGCACGUAGGCGGUUCGUUAAGUCGGAUGUGAAAGCCCUCGGCUCAACUGAGGAAGUGCACCCGAAACUGGCGAGCUUGAGUACGAAAGAGGAUCGCGGAAUUCCCGGUGUAGAGGUGAAAUUCGUAGAUAUCGGGAGGAACACCGGUGGCGAAGGCGGCGAUCUGGGUCGAUACUGACGCUGAGGUGCGAAAGCGUGGGGAGCAAACAGG